rnacentral:rRNA from 1 species
UACAGAGGGUGCGAACGUUGCUCGGAAUUACUGGGCGUAAAGCGCAUGUAGGCGGAUCCAUAAGUCGGGCGUGAAAUCCCCAGGCUCAACCUGGGAACUGCGCUCGAAACUGUGGGUCUCGAGUGUCGGAGAGGAUGGCGGAAUUCCUGGUGUAGAGGUGAAAUGCGUAGAGAUCAUGAGGAAGACCAGUGGCGAAGGCGGGUCUCUGGACAGUUCCUGACACUGAGGCACGAAAGCUAGGGGAGCAAACAGG